AGAAGGGUGGCCUCAGCCUCCUCCUCCUCCUCCUUGGCUUCCUCCUCACGGAUCUGCACCAGCAACUGAAAGAGGUUUGGGGCUGGCCCUUCCCCAGCCCCGAACAUUCUCCCAAGCAUUCGGUAGGAGACCUGGGGCAUCGCAGCCUGGAGGGUCUCUUCGAUUUCAGCCUCAUCACAGUUCACUGGGAUGCCCCAGACUA
rnacentral:lncRNA from 1 species